CAAAUUUAAAUAGAAUUUAUUGCAUUUAUUACACACCAGUCCAAUGGGGGCACACUCAAGGCCAUCCCCCUCCCAAGCUAACCAGUUAUAUAUCAUGACUAUCCAAAGUGGAAGCCGUAAAGGAAUCAUUACAGUCCAGAGAUUACAUGUUAGAGAUUCUCGAACACAACAUCCAAAUGGCUCAAAUAGAAUGAAAAAAUAUUCAAAUCUAAGGAGAGAUGAGCAAACUUUUCGAGAGGGGAUCUCGUUUACUUCGUCUGCAACCCUACAGACAACUCACUGUGGCCUAUCGCAAAAGCUUCAAGCUUGCACCUAGGUUCUAUGGCCUGUUCCCAAUCGUCCAGAAGGUUGGACUUGUAGCCUACAAACUCCAGCUUGCACCCACGACGGCCAUUCACCCCAAAUUCCACGUGUCUCAACUGAAGAGGAAACUGGGCCAACGACACGCGUUCUUGCCCACACUAUUACCCACAGAUGCCGCCAGGGUCCUUAAGCUAGAAUCGGAGAAGAUUUUAGACCGUCCUGCUCAAUGGUUCAAAAAUUAGCCCUUUGCAGAAUUGUCGGUCCAAUGGCAAGGACAACAUGCCGACGACGCCACAUGGGAGCUGUAUGAGUAGUUGAAAGUAUCAUACCCACACUUUGUGGGCAAUGUGCUUUGAUAGGAGGAGCUUUGUCACUCGUUCGACGGUGCCGAGGCAGAAGAAGAGAAAUAAGGAGAACUAAGAGAAGUCAUGGUCUUAGGGUUCAAGAUGUGGGCCAUGGGUUGGGACAAAGCCUUAGGUCCAUCUAAGUUGUUCGGUCUAGUAAAGGCCCUUUAUGCUACUUUGUAAUUCAAGUUAGUGUUAUGUUUUAAUUCUAUUUUCUAGAAGGGAAAUCAAGUUUGUUAUGCACUAGCGUCAGACCCUAUUUGAGGACAGCGGCAUGUAGAGGUUGGUUAUGCUGAAUCUUUAUGCAAGUUGUUAUACUUUCUUCUUCCUUUUCUCUCUAUUAAUGGAGGCACUCACCUUCUAAGUGAGUAAUUUCCAUCUCAUCCAUAAGUCCUUACAGAAAUUACAGUAAAAAUCUUAGUGUUACAUUCUUCCCCACUCCUCCAACCGAGUCGUUCAUAUCCCCGGAACAAAAUGGUAUGUCCCUUCUAACCUUCUGCUUUUGGUUCAGCUUAAGUUGCUAGGUAUGCGUCUUUUAGUGUGUGAGUAUGCAUUGUGCAGUUUAUUGUGGUUUCUGAUGUUUUCUUAGAGUAAAUAUUUGUUUUUUUUUUCCCUUUGUGGUUAUGAAUUUGUAGCCGUUUAAGACGUACGUGGAGAUUGGAAGGCUGGCGCUUGUGAACUACGGGAAGGAGUAUGGAAGACUUGUUGUGAUUGUGGAUGUUAUCGACCACAAUAGGGCUCUUGUUGAUGCCCCUGAUAUGGUGAGGAGCCAAAUGAACUUAAAAAGGCUCUCUCUAACUGAUAUUAAGAUUGACAUCAAGAGGGUUCUAAAGAAGAGGGCUUUAAUUGAGGCCAAGGAGACUGCUGGUUGGUGACAAUUGAGAUGUAACUUGAUUAUCUUACAAGACUGAAAAGUUUGUAAAUUAGGGGUGGAAUUAUCAGGCAGGAGCUUGCAAAACUCAGAAAGGAGAAUGCACAGCCUAAGACAGUGGCACAAUGUGUAGAAUUUUGAAGAUGGUUCAAUUAUACAGCCCUGAUCUUGCUUGACGCGUCCUUUUGUUUUUUCUAUUUAAAUUCCUUUGACAAGUAGUGAAGUAGUAAUUGUGAAAGAAUUUGUUGGUUGGUUUCCUUAAUUCGCAGGAGGAUUACUAUGACAUCUUCACAACUCCCAAUCAUUAAUCCAUGCUAGGU